UGUGCCUGCCGGUUCACCUUUGCGGGUGGACAUGGCGACUUGGACGCUUUGCCGGCUUCGGUCGGCUCGUCCUGAAUGCAUCAGCUGGACCUCAUUCGCUCGGUUCGACUCGGCGUGAUAAACAUCUCGUCGUCGAGGACAACCCCGUCAAACGGGUGGCCGGCGCGGAUGAGGCUUCGGCUCUCCAACCGUCUUCGGACAACAUACUUUUGG
rnacentral:misc_RNA from 1 species